rnacentral:lncRNA from 1 species
CCUUGCAGCUUAGGGGCAAAGCUUCUGGCUCUUGCUUAUCUCUGAGUUCACCUGCAGUUUCAGAUGAGUUUCCAGUUCUUGGUAACCAAUUCCCACAUUAAAUUCCUUGUUUAAAAUUCUCAAAUUGGUUUCUAACUUCUAGCUAGACCUUGAUGCAACCAGCACCAAGUCCUUUGGUUGUGAGAUCCUUCAAUGGAUGUGAAUGAUUGAAAUAGCUGCUGAGGUACUUUCUGCCAAGGAGUGAUGGUGGAGCAAAGGAACAAAGUGAUUAAUGACAAGACACUGAUUACAGCAAUAGAUCUUGUAUUUCCGGUCCAAUUCAGUAACGCAAUGCCAACACCAUGUAAAACAAGAAAAGAGACAUUGGCACCAUGAAACCACACAAAAUAAAUUCUACUCUAUGUCUCAGUGAUUUAGAAAUCAGGUCUAAGUGUCUUCUAAAACACCUUGCAGAUGUGGUCAUUGCUUAAGACAAUGGUUACAUGACCUAGAGAAUUAUUUUUACAUUGACCAGACUCAGGAACUUAUGAUAAAAAAGGUUUUUUCUCAGAACUAGACUGAUAUUCUUGGAUUCGUGAGUGGUAGAAAAAAAAAUCUCAUUUUUCCCCUUUAUCCUUCAGUGGAACUGUGAGAUUUGAUGACCUGUUUUUAAUCUAAGAAAACCCCUAAAGCAGAAAUCAGAUGUGGUACUCUGAACCUCAAUCCAAUUUCUGUUGGCUCCUAGGCAGCCAUUUGUCGGCUUGUGUAUGUUGUGUGUGUGUGUGUGUGUGUGUGAGAGAGAGAGAGAGAGAACUAACAGCCAGUUUGAGUGAGGUUCUUAAUCAGUUAUUUUAUGUCAUGUGAAUAUAACCUCAUGUGACCUUCUCCCAGCUGCACAAUCUGCAGAAGCAGAUAAGCAUGGCUAAAGAGUUCUUUUGCUUUUUCUGUCCUUGGUGCUAGCCAACUGAGGAAAUCUAAAAACAAUGAUGGAAGGUGUCCUCCCAAAUUCAUACCUUGAAAUCCUAAUACCCAAUGUGAUGAUAUUUGAAGAUGGGGCCUUGGGAAGUAAUUAGGUCCUGAAAAUGGAGCCUUCAUGAUGGGAUUGGUGUCUUUUUAAGAAGAGGCAGGAGAGUUUGCUCCUCUCUCUCUGUCAUGUGAGGAUACAGCAAGAAGGUGACCAUCUGUAAUCCAGAAAGAACACCCUCACCACAGACCAGCUCUCCUGAUGCCUUGAUCUUGGAUUUCCCAGCUUACAGAACUGUGAGAAAUAAAUGUUUGUUGUUUAAGCCA